AGCUCGUGUCGUGAGAUGUUGGGUUAAGUCCGUACGAGCGCACUCUUGUCCUUAGUUACCAGCACGUUAUGGUGGGCACUCUAAGGAGACUGCCGGUGACAAACCGGAGGAAGGUGGGGAUGACGUCAAGUCAUCAUGGCCCUUACGGCCUGGGCUACACACGUGCUACAAUGGUCGGUACAAAGGGUUGCCAAGCCGCGAGGUGGAGCUAAUCCCAUAAAACCGAUCGUAGUCCGGAUCGCAGUCUGCAACUCGACUGCGUGAAGUCGGAAUCGCUAGUAAUCGUGAAUCAGAAUGUCACGGUGAAUACGUUCCCGGGCCUU
rnacentral:rRNA from 1 species